CUCCUCUUGCUUCACUUCUUAGCAGUACAUUCACUCUUAACUUUUUAAAACCCUUUUUUCUUGAAUUCCAGAACAUCAUACAUUAUUUCAUUUUUUUUCCCACCCUCAUUGAUUCUCUCUCAAUAUUUUUUUUUUCUCUUCUGUAGCCAACUUCUAAACGUUAGAGUAUUCUGGGAUUGAUUCUAUAACCUCUUCCUUUAUCUCUCAUUCAUAUUCCUCAAUAACUCAUUCACAUUCAUUGCUCUAAAUACCAUAUAUAUUUUCAUAACUCUCAAAUUUAAAUCCCCCAUCCUCUCUAAACCUUGGAUUUCAGACUGUAUAUCUAACUACUUGACAUCUUCAAUAGUAAAAGUGGUAUUAAAAAAAAAAAAAAAAGAACUCAUGCUCUGUACUAUACCACCCCGCCACUGCCAACAAAAUUUUAUCCCUUUCUCAUGUCAUUUAGUACUACUAAAUAACCAAGAAAAUCGCAGUACUAGGCAGCAGCUCGGGCGGCGGGAGGAGCGUCAGCGGCCCAGGAGGUCGGCGAGGUUGUCCGCUAAAGCUGCUCCCGCAAAAGUGGAAACGAAGCCAAAAAAGGCGGCAGGAAAGAGUGCAGCCUCCGAUGAAGCAGGAGAGAAAGAAGCCAAGUCUGAUUAAUACCAUAUACCAUGUCUUAUCAGUGGUCCCUGUCUCCCUUCUUGUACAAUCCAGAGGAAUAUUUUUAUCAACUAUUUUGUAAAUGCAAGUUUUUUAGUAGCUCUAGAAACAUUUUUAAGAAGGAGGGAAUCCCACCUCAUCCCAUUUUUUAAGUGUAAAUGCUUUUCUUUAAGAGGUGAAAUCAUUUGCUGGUUGUUUAUUUUUUGGUACAACCAGAAAAUAGUGGGAUAUUGAAUGUGGGUGGCUUUGAUUGUCUUGGGUGUCAGCUCAACAUUAUAUAGACGGGGUAGUUUUUAUAUCCUAUAAUACCAAGCAUACUAAAUGGCAAUUUGGAGUCAGUCGUGCAUUUAAUAUGUCUUGAACAUUUUAAAUUUCUUCUAUUCCCAUGUUGUUUUUGGUAGAAUUGUUUCCUAAAGAAAACCACUCCUAGAUCUUGGCUCUCCUUGUCAGAAUUCUUGUGCACUCUGUAACAUCUUGGUUGUGGUAGUAGUAACUGUUAAUGUGCUGUGCAAGAUUGAAAAUUUGAAUAUGUAGUGUAUAUGAUAUUAAAUUGUGAAUUAAUGGGACUUAACAAAGUAACAGUGUAUCAACAUUUGAAGAUAUCGGUACUUGAUAUACUGUUAAGGAAAAUUUGCCUCCAAAUUUUAAGCUGGAAGGUCACUGGAAUAACUUUUAGAAAAGGAUCACAACUACAUGAUUUUUUAGAUUUUCGAUAUGUACGUUAAGAAUUGUGUACAAAUUGAAAUGUCUGUACUGAUCCUCAGAACAACCAAUAAAAAAUUAUGAAAGAAAAAAAAAAGAAAACA
rnacentral:lncRNA from 12 species